ACGGAAGGCAGCAGCUAAGAAUAUUCCGCAAUGGGCGAAAGCCUGACGGAGCGACACCGCGUGGAUGAAGAAGGCCGGAAGGUUGUAAAAUCCUUUUGAAACCGAGGAAUAAGCAUCGGAGGGAAUGCCGGUGUGGUGACUGUAAGUUUUGAAUAAGCAACGGCUAAUUACGUGCCAGCAGCCGCGGUAACACGUAAGUUGCGAGCGUUGUUCGGAAUUAUUGGGCGUAAAGGGCAUGUAGGCGGUCUGGCAAGCUUGGUGUGAAAGCCCGGAGCUCAACUCCGGAACAGCAUUGAGAACUACCGGCUAGAAUCACUGAGGGGGAACCAGAAUUCCAGGUGUAGGGGUGAAAUCUGUAGAUAUCUGGAAGAACACCAAUGGCGAAGGCAGGUUUCUAGCAGAUGAUUGACGCUGAGGUGCGAAGGUGCGGGGAGCAAACAGGAUUAGAUACCCUGGUA
rnacentral:rRNA from 1 species